rnacentral:lncRNA from 1 species
UACACUGGUCAUUUUCCUAUUUGUUUUCUGUGUUUUACUUCCUUCUAUACAAAAAGUUUUAUGUUUCUACUUUAAUUCCUCUGUUGACUUUUACUAUAUUUUUAGUUGUUUUUCUCAGUGAUUACAAUAAAGAUUAGUAUAUGCAUCUCAAUUUAUCACAGUUGCCUUUAAAUUAAAAUACUCUCAAUUUUCCUAGAAUACAAAAACUGCUGCAAUAUGGCUCCAUUCCUAUCCCCAUUUUGUACUACUAUUGUCGUAUCAUUACAUCAAUACAUGUUAAAAUGCAACAAUAUAACAUUAUAAUGAUGGGUUUAUGCAAUUUAAUGUCUUUUACGUUGCUUAAGAAAAGAUACAAUAUAUUUAUGAAAACUUUUAUAAUGACCUAUUUAAUAUUUUCUGUGAUUUUUCAUUUCCUAGUUGUCUGUUGUCAGACUUCUUUUAUUAUUACUUUUUUUUUCUCUUUUUAGGGCUGCACCCAUAGAAUAUGGAGGUUCCCAGGCUAGGGGUCUAAUCAGAGUUGUAGCUGCUGGCCUACGCCACAGCCACAGCAAUGCAGGAUCCAAGCCAUGUCUGUGACCUACACCAUAGCUCAUGGAAAUGCUGGAUACUUUACCCACUGAGCGAGGCCAGGGAUCAAACCAGCAACCUCAUUGUUCCUAGUCAGAUGCAUUUCUGCUGUGCCAUGAUGAGAACUCCAUAUUAUUACUUCUAAUAUUGGUCUACUAGCCACAAAUUCUCUUGAUAUUUGUUUAUUUGGAAAUAUCAUUAUUUCAUAAUCAUUUUUGAAGAAUUUUUUUUUUUGCUCGGUAUAAAGUUAUUGGCUGAGAAUCUUCAGUACUUUAAAUGUCAUCCCAUUGCCUUCUGGCUUCCAUUGUUUUUGAUGAGAAGUCUGUUGUUUAUCCUGUUGUGGUUGUUGUGAGGGCAAGUGCUUUUGCAGUAACAUGGGGCUGUGGCCAGGAUAAUUCUGACAUCACUGUCAGCCUCCUAGAAUCCUGCCUCAAGCACUGCCUCCAAAUAUCAUCUCAUGCUGGUGUGGUUGGAGCUUGGAGAAAAUGAUAUAAAAGUGGCUGAGUAGUGCUUGCAACUGACAUAACUGGGACCAGGACAGGGGUGGAUCUGUGCCCCCAGGUCAGUGACAGCACAUCUCUGGCCAACAGGACACUUGGCUUUGUCCUGAUUUCUCUUGGACUUCAUGUCUUUUUUCUUGCUACUUUCAAGAUUUUCUCUUUGUCUUUGGGCUUCUACAAUUUGACUGUGAUGUUUCUAGGUGUGGAUCUCUUAUUCUUAACAUACUUUGAGUUUGUUCAGGCCUUUUUGAUGUAUAUGUUAGUGUUUUUAGAACCUAGGAGAAGUGUAAAAUCAUUAUUUUUUUAAAAAAAUCUCCUUCCUUCUCUGUCCUAUUACAUGUAUGUUGGUGUGCUUGAUGCCUCUUCAUAUAUUUCUGAGGCUCUAUUUAUUUUUAAAAUCUUUUCUUUUUGUUUUUCAGAUUGGGUAAUUUCUGUUGCUUUGUAUUCAAGCUCGUAAUUUCUUUCUUCUACAUUCCAUGGGUUUGGCCAAUACAUAUGAUAUUUCCAUCAUUACAGUAACAUACAAAGUAUUGUCUCUGCCCCAAAUAUCCUCUGUGCUCCCCUUAUUCAUUCCUCCCCUCUCCAGUCCCUCACAACAAGUGUUGAUUUUAUUCUCUCUAUAGUUUUUCCUUUUCUAGAAAGUCAUAUCAUUGGAAUCCUACAGUAUACAGUCUUUUCCAUUUUACUUUUUUUACUUAGUGAUAUACAUUUGUUUCCUCCUUUUUGUUUCAUGGCUUCAUAGUUCACUUGUUUUAGUGAUGAAUAAUAUCCCAUUGUCUGAAUGCAUCACAGCUUAUUUAUGCAUUCUCCUACUGAAGGAUUUAUUGGUUGAUUACAAGUUUUUGGUGAUUAUGAAUAACCUUCUAUAAACAUCCAUGUGUAGGUUUUUGUAUGGACAUGUUUUCACCUCCUUUAAGUAAAUACCAAGGAACAUGAUUGCUAGAUCACAUGGUAAGAAUAUGUUUAGUUUUGUAAGAAGCUGCCAAAUUGUCUUCCAAUGUGCUUGUACCAUUUGCAUUCUCAUCAACAAUGAAUGAGAGUUACUCUUGCUCCCCAUCUUCAGCAGUAACUGGUGUUUUCAGGGUUCUGAAUUUCAGUCAUUCUAAUAGAUGUGUCAUGGUAUGUCAUUGUCGUGGGUUUUUUGUUUGUUUGGAUUUUUCAGGGCUGCACCCAUGGCAUGUGGAAGUUCCCAGGCUAGGGGCCGAAUUGGAGCUGUGGGUGCCGAUCUAUGCCACAGCCACAGCAAUGUGAGAUCCAAGCCACGUCUGAGACCUACACCAUAGCUCACAGCAAUGCCAGAUCCCCAACCCACUGAGUGAGGCCAGACCAGGGAUUGAACCCUCAUGCUUAUGGAUGUCAGUCGGGUUCAUUAUGGCUGAGCCAUGACAGGAACUCCUGUCAUUGUUUUCAUUUUCAUUUUCCUGAUAUCAUAGGAUGUGGAGCAUCUUUUCACAUGCUUACUUGCCAUCUGUGUGUCUAUGUGUGUGUGUGUGUGUGGUGUCUAUUAAGGUCUUUGUCCCAUUUCUACAUUGGAUUAUUUGUUUUCUGGCUAAAAAGCUUAACUCAACUGAGGAGAAAAGAGAAUCGUCCCCGAGGAAGUGGUUUCUGAAGAAGAAAUUUGAAUGAUGAGUCAGAGUUGGGUAGGUUGAGAGAUAUGAAGUAGGAAGGAAAGGAAAAUGUAUAGACAAAGGGAAAAUUAUAUGCCAGCACAAGGAGUUAAGUAAUAGGGGGCCACAAUUGAUGAAGUCUGGAUGAUAAUCUAGCAAAGGGGAGAAUCCUGCCUAAAGUGUGCAGGGUCAUGGGUUCAAUAAGAUUAUUUGAGAUUUGAGGUAUUUUCCUAAAAGAAGAGCCAAAAUGAAAUAUUUUAAAUAGCUACAGUGGGUAGGUUUGGGAGGGUAACAUGAUCAUAUUUCUAUUUUAGAAAGAUCUCUCUGGUUGCAGAAUGGUGAAUGGAUUUGGGUGGGUUACAAGGUGGUUUGCUAGGAAGCCAUGUUUGAGGUACCAUAAGAACCUAGUUGAAAGAUGAUCAUGGCUUGGGCUCUGGUGACUAUAGUGUGGAUGGAGGAAGAUAUAUUGAUGUGAGAUAUACUUAACAUGUUGAACCAAUAGACUAGACUUUCGAUUGAGAAAGAGAGAGAGAUGGAGAAGUGGGGGAGAGGGAAUAGUCAAAAAAUAUUCUUGAGAUUCUAGUUUGAGCAUCAGAAUAGAUGAUGAUGGCAUGUAUGGGGCUGGGAACAACAGCACAGGGACAAGCAUGGGAGAGGAAGGGAGAAAAAUUCUGACGCCAGAUCUGGCAUAAUUCAAGAAUAAAAGGUAUGGAGCUGGAGCUUGUAGGCGAGGACUGCUUUGGAGAUACGGGAUUGAGAGUUGUUGGCAUAUCCAUGGCGACGGAAGCUUGGGGAGAAGCUGUGUAGAUGGAGUCAAGAAGAAAGACAGAGCCUGGAAGAUGGCCUAACAUUAAGGAUGGAUCCAGGAAAGGAGAGUAAAGGUGCUUAGAAAUGAUGAGAGGGGAACCAGGGAAAUUUGGCACUCCUGAAACCAAGGAAGGGUUCUUUCUCAAAAAAGAGUAGUCAGGGUAUCAAAUUUUGUUGGUAGAUCAAGCAAGAUGAGGGCUAAAAGGGUCCUUUGGGUUUGGUCUUAAGAAGGCAUCUAUUUUUCUUGCUGAGAGAAGUUUCAGUGGAAUAGGCGGAGUAAUGAAUUAGUUGAGGACUAAGCUGGUGGUAAAGAAAUGAAUGCUGUGAGCUUUGAGUCAAGAAGUUUGACUGUCACCCUGACUUCUGGGUUGCCUAAUCCAAAGGCCACUUUCCAGUCUUUCGUUUUUUGAACAUUUGACCAUUGCGUGUUUUGGUGAGGAGGCUUAGUUGUCAAUUUUGCCUGAAAUAUAGUCGAUUAUCUCAUUCUCAAAGUUUAAAAAAUGCCUAGUUUGUAUAAAUAUUCUCUUAUUAUACUUUAGAGUAUUGCUUUGCUCUAUUUGCUUAUUUUCUGCAUAAAGACCCACUCAUUAGUUUAGUCUUUAAAUGUGUUCAACUUACCUGCCAACUGUUCUGAUAUUUUCAUUUUCAUUCAAUGUUGCUUUAAUAGUUGAUUUGUAAAAAAGUUGUGUUGGUGUGCUAUGCCUCAUUUAAUCACGUUUGGGCAGCAUUGUCUUUACCGUGCCCUGUACAACUGUGAUUUUUUAAAUUAGAUUUUUUAAAUAUUAGUUGGUGGUUUAUAUCAGUUUGUUCUUAUUUAAUAGAAAAUAUAUCUCUCGUAGUCUACUGAACAUCUGAACAUAAGAGGUGGCUCUUUUAUGAAUCAUUCUUUUAUUUCAUGAAGUUUGGUAGAGUAUCAUUUAUCCAAGAAUCUAAAGAUGAGUAUAUGAUGGAAUUAUUACAUUCUUGUUAUAUCUUUAUAUUUUUUAAGAGAAAAGACAUUGCCCACUUUUAAAAAUCAUUUAUUAUAGUAACUGAGGAAUGAUUUCCUGAAGUAAAUGAUCCGUGGUGAUGCUAAGCUUCACUGAGCUGGAGCUGUGGAUGCGAGAGUUGAAAUGGAUGGAUGAAGGAUGCCUUUAUCUGAUGCUGUUUUAUACUGUGAAAAGCCCAUAAAUUUCAUUGGGCAAACAUCAUUUAUUACUGAGCAGAAGAUGCCUCAAAUGUAGAGGCUGAAAGAGAAACCUGAGCAAGAGGCAGCAGAGGAAGGAAAAGCAGAUGACGGAUCUUUUCAUCAACGUGGCGGCCCUGUUCCAUUCUCAGAUUCUGUGCCACUGUUACAUCAUAUUCUGUUGAUAAGGGACCAUAGCCACAUCCCUGUCUUCAGAUCAAGAAGGAUUUCCUGGGAAAUAAACACUUCCUUUUAAGAAGUAAUUUAUCAUUUUUAUAAUGUGUCAUUUUAAAGGAAAGGAGUGUAAAGCAAAUUCUCUCUGUGUGUAUGCAUCAAUAGGUAAAAUGUGUUUGCUGUGUUCCCAUGAUUAAAUAUUAGUUAUAUGCUCUUUUUCCAUUUUCAAGUUAAUCCAGGUAUUUUUCCUGGGGUGUAAGAUGAAAGCUUAUGUUUAGCAUUCUUCAGUUAGAUUUCAUGAUACAUUUAUAUUAGAUAAAACUCUCCUAGGAUAUAUAAAACUUUAAAACGAAUCUAUUUUCUACCAUGCCAUAGGUGCCAUGUAAGAGUCUCAGAUGCCUUUUAAAAAAAUGUUGUGCUUGCUUGAAGCUAAGAUGAAUGGAUCUGGCAAUUACAUUGAUGACAUUGUUCUGUAAGAGGCUGAAUCCUGGCCAUUCUUGUAGAAUGAUCUCCCAUUGUCCAGCUGCUUUAUAGGAACUCUUUUUUGAACCUUACUUAAAACUUCACACCUUUCUCUUGAACUUCAGAGAACAUCUUAUGAUCUCUCUUGAUUUCUUACCAGGGCAUCUGCAGGUGGACUCGCCCUUUUUGGUGUGGCAAGGAACAGGAAGAGCGACUGAUUGUUGCCCCAAUAACUGGCACCGUUAGUCAACAUUCAGAAAUUGUCAGACGCAGAGGAAUGGAUAAAGAAAAGUGGUACAUGUAUACAGUGAAAUAUUACUUAGCCAUAAAAAAGAAUGAAAUCAUGCCCCUUGUAGCAACAUGGAUGGACCCAGAAAUUAUCAUACUCAGUGAAGUCAGUCAGACAGUGAGAGACAAACAUCAUCUGAUAUCACUUAUAUGUGGAAUCUAGAAAAAAUAGAUACAAAUGAACUUAUUUGCAGAACAGAAACAGACUCAGACUUUCAAAAACUUAGGAUUACUGAAGGGGACAGGUAGGGGAGUGGAGAGGGAUGGACUGGGGGUUUGGGAUUGGCACAUGCACACUGAGGUAUAUGGAAUGACGGCUAACAGACUUGCUGUAUAGCACAGAGAACUCUAUCCAGUAUUCUGUGCUAAUCUAUGUGGGAAAAGAAUCUGAAAGAGCAUGAAUGUGUGUGUGCGUACAACUGAAUCACUUUGUUGUACAGCGGAAAGUUUCAUGACCUUGUACAUCAACUAUAUUUCAAUACAACUUUAAAAAAUGGGGAGUUCCUGUUGUGGCACAGUGGAACCAAACCUGACUAGUAUCCAUGAGGAUGCGAGUUCAAUCCCUGGCGUUGCCAUGAGCUGUGGUAUAGGUUACAGAUGUAGCUCGGGUCUGGCAUUGAUGUGGCUGUGGUGUAGGCUGGCAGCUAUAGCUCCGAUUCAACCCCUAGCCUGGAAACUUCCAUAUGCCACGGGUGUGGCCCUAAAAAACCACAACAAAAAAA